rnacentral:rRNA from 1 species
UACGUAGGGGGCAAGCGUUGUCCGGAUUUAUUGGGCGUAAAGAGCGUGUAGGCGGCUAGACAGGUCCGCUGUGAAAACUCGAGGCUCAACCUCGAGACGUCGGUGGAAACCGUCUGGCUAGAGUCCGGAAGAGGAGAGUGGAAUUCCCGGUGUAGCGGUGAAAUGCGCAGAUAUCGGGAAGAACACCCGUGGCGAAGGCGGCACUCUGGGACGGUACUGACGCUGAGACGCGAAAGCGUGGGGAGCGAACAGG